rnacentral:misc_RNA from 1 species
GAUGAAGAACGUAGCGAAAUGCGAUAAGUAAUGUGAAUUGCAGAAUUCCGUGAAUCAUCGAAUCUUUGAACGCACAUUGCGCCCCUUGGUAUUCCGAGGGGCAUGCCUGUUCGAGCGUCAUUAUAACCCCUCAAGCUCAGCUUGGUGUUGGGGCCUGCCGCACGGGCAGCCCUUAAAAUCAGUGGCGGUGCCAUCUGGCUCUAAGCGUAGUAAUUCUUCUCGCUACAGAGUCCCGGUGGAUGCUUGCCAUUAACCCCCAAUUUUCUAUGGUUGACCUCGGAUCAGGUAGGGAUACCCGCUGAACUUAAGCAUAUCAAUAAGCGGAGGA